rnacentral:rRNA from 1 species
UGGGGGAUAUUGCACAAUGGGCGAAAGCCUGAUGCAGCGACGCCGCGUGGGGGAUGAAGGCCUUCGGGUUGUAAACUUCUUUUGCUCUGAACAAGGCAUGCUAAUGGGUGUGUUGAGUGUAGGGGUUGAUUAGCGCCGGCUAACUACGUGCCAGCAGCCGCGGUAAUACGUAGGGCGCGAGCGUUGUCCGGAAUUAUUGGGCGUAAAGGGCUUGUAGGUGGCUGGUUGCGUCUGUCGUGAAAGCUCAUGGCUUAACUGUGGGUUUGCGGUGGGUACGGGCGGGCUUGAGUGCAGUAGGGGAGGCUGGAAUUCCUGGUGUAGCGGUGGAAUGCGCAGAUAUCAGGAGGAAUACCGGUGGCGAAGGCGGGUCUCUGGGCUGUUACUGACACUGAGGAGCGAAAGCAUGGGGAGCGAACAGG